AAAAACAAAAAAUGACUUGGUGACC
rnacentral:piRNA from 1 species